AUGGCCAGCAGAGGCAAGCUGAUGUGGAAAUCAGAGUCAUCUAUAAGAGGUCUGGGUGCAGAAAAAGGGAAGAAUGCAGAUGAAGAAGUGACAGCAAAAUUCAGAAAGUUGAACCUGGCAGCUGGAGAGGAUGAGAAGCUGAUAAUGUCAGAUGAUGAGGAAGAUGAAGAUGAACCAAAAGUCUUCUCUGUUAUCGGUAAAGUCUUAUCUCCAAGCACUCUUCAAUUGCAGACUAUCAUGGGAGCUAUGAAACCAGCUUCGGGAAAUCCAAAAGGGCUAAGAGCAAGAAUGGUGGGGGAUAACGUAUUCAUUGUGGAUUUCAUGACGGAGGCAGACAAAGAGAGGGCACUAGAUGGAACCCCAUGGCUUGUAGGGCGCCAUGCAGUGCUCUUGAAAGAGUUUGAGAAGAAUCUUAGACCCUUAGAUGUGCGUUUUGAGUCAAUGCAUAUUUGGGUCAGGAUCAUAAACAUACUUUUUAAGUGGAUGAACAAAAAGAAAGGAUGGAAGGUAGCGGGUCUUGCAGGCAAAGUUGAUAAAUUAGAUGUUGACGAAUUUGGCGAUGCUGCAGGUAAAUAUCUUAGAGCAAGAGUGGAAAUCCCAAUUGAGAAACCAUUGAAGAGGUAUAUCACAAUUGAAACUUCAGAAGGUGAUGAAUACUACGAUCUACAAUAUGAGAAGUUGCCUUUCUUCUGCUUCUCAUGUGGCAUUAUGGGGCAUUCUGAAUUAGAAUGUCAAAACCCUUCAGGAAGAGAUGCAGAAGGUAAAUGGGAAUAUGAUAAUUCAAUAAGAGCCCCAGAAGAGAGGAGGAGGAGAAUUCAAUCCUUUGCACAAGCAGCGGCAACUUCAGAUUGGAGUGGAUCUUCAUACCGAAGUGAUUCUCAUUCCAGUUCUAAAGGAAAAUCCACGGAGCAAUCUAAUAGUCAGACCUUUGAGAAGGAAAAAUGUAUCCCAGGAGAAGUGUCGAGCCCUUCGGAGAAAAUGGGCAUAGGUAAGGGUGGAGGUGUCCAAAAUAGCAACACUUGCAUGACUCUUUUUACAAGUCAAGCUCAGGAUAUAAGUGUAACAUGA
rnacentral:rRNA from 1 species